rnacentral:rRNA from 1 species
CCGGAAUGAACAUACCUCUGGUGUUUCUGUUGUUCUGCCAAGAGCAUUGCAGAGUAGCCAAGUAUGGUUGAGAUAAACACUGAAAGCAUAUAAGUGUGAAACUUGCCCCAAGAUAAGAUUUCCCUAAAGACCACCCGUAGACUACGGGUUUGAUAGGCAAGAAGUGUAAGUGCAGUAAUGUAUUUAGCUAACUUGUACUAAUCGGUCGUUUGGCUUGGUCAC